GGGCAACCUGCCCGUAAGACCGGGAUAACUUCGGGAAACCGGAGCUAAUACCGGAUAACACCGAAGACCGCAUGGUCUUUGGUUGAAAGACGGCUUUGGCUGUCACUUACGGAUGGGCCCGCGGCGCAUUAGCUAGUUGGUGAGGUAACGGCUCACCAAGGCGACGAUGCGUAGCCGACCUGAGAGGGUGAUCGGCCACACUGGGACUGAGACACGGCCCAGACUCCUACGGGAGGCAGCAGUAGGGAAUCUUCCGCAAUGGACGAAAGUCUGGCGGAGCAACGCCGCGUGAGCGAAGAAGGUCUUCGGAUUGUAAAGCUCUGUUGUUGGGGAAGAAUAAGUACCGUUCGAAUAGGGCGGUACCGUGACGGUACCUAACGAGAAAGCCACGGCUAACUACGUGCCAGCAGCCGCGGUAAUACGCAGGUGGCAAGCGUUGUCCGGAAUUAUUGGGCGUAAAGCGCGCGCAGGCGGUCCUUUAAGUCUGAUGUGAAAGCCCACGGCUCAACCGUGGA
rnacentral:rRNA from 1 species